AAUUCGACGCAACGCGAAGAACCUUUACCAGGGCUUGACAUCCUCUGACAACCCAAGAGAUUGGGCGUUCUGCCUUCGGGUAGACAGAGAGACAGGUGGUGCAUGGUUGUCGUCAGCUCGUGUCGUGAGAUGUUGGGUUAAGUCCCGCAACGAGCGCAACCCCUAUUGUUAGUUGCCAUCAUUCAGUUGGGCACUCUAGCGAGACUGCCGGUAAUAACCGGAGGAAGGUGGGAUGACGUCAAAUCAUCAUGCCCCUUAUGACCUGGGCUACACACGUGCUACAAUGGUUGGUACAACGAGUUGCGAGUCGGUGACGGCGAGCUAAUCUCUUAAAGCCAAUCUCAGUUCGGAUUGUAGGCUGCAACUCGCCUACAUGAAGUCGGAAUCGCUAGUAAUCGCGGAUCAGCACGCCGCGGUGAAUACGUUCCCGGGCCUU
rnacentral:rRNA from 1 species